GAUGAAUGCUGGCGGCGUGCCUAACACAUGCAAGUCGAGCGGCAGCGAGGGGUGCUUGCACCCUGUCGGCGAGCGGCGAACGGCUGAGUAACGCGUAGGAAUUUGCCCCAAAGUGAGGAAUAACUGCCCGAAAGGGUAGCUAAUGCCGCAUAUGGUCUUCGGAUUAAAGGAUUUAUCCGCUUUGGGAGAAGCCUGCGUUGGAUUAGGUUGUUGGUAGGGUAAUGGCCUACCAAGCCGACGAUCCAUAGCUGGUCUGAGAGGAUGAUCAGCCAGACUGGAACUGAGACACGGUCCAGACUCCUACGGGAGGCAGCAGUGAGGAAUCUUCCACAAUGGGCGAAAGCCUGAUGGAGCAACGCCGCGUGAAGGAUGAAGGCGUUCGGGUUGUAAACUUCUUUUAUGAGUGAAGAAUAUGACGGUAACUAAUGAAUAAGCACCGGCUAACUACGUG
rnacentral:rRNA from 1 species